CCCUCGUCGUCCCAUUCUUACAUCAAACGAUGGGCUCUCAGUUGCAAAAUUAAAUUUUUGUUUUUUAUUUAUUUAUAUUUUAAAUAAAUAAAAUAUAACAAAAAUAUUGCGAAAACCCCUUUUUGCCUAUUAAUAAAGGUUUGACUGCUGGGAUUUUUUUUUUUAAAAGAUUCUCGCUCGCCUUAUGUUUUUAGUGUCGAAGGAUUUUCUGUAGUAUUUAACUUUUUUUAAAGUAAUAUUUAGUAUGUGAAUAAUUUUUUUAUAUUAUUUAUAAUAAUAAUAAAAAAACCACAUAUUAACGAAUGUAUGAGCUUUGCGCUCUUUUUAAAUGGUGAGAUGUAAGCACAAGGUUUCAGUUUUUAUAUAAUAUAAAUAUAUAAUAAUAUUAAAAAUAUUUAUAUUUUUAAUAUAUAUUAUAUUUUAUUUAUUAUAUUUAAAAAAAGACUGGACCAAUUAUAUAAUAAAUUGUGUGAGGCACGCUUUAGGCACGCGCUUACUGCAGAAAUGCCUGAGACAUUCCCCUCCGGGGGUAGUAUGCACGCAAGUGUGAAACU
rnacentral:rRNA from 1 species